GUGGUUAAUGAUGCACACUUUUUUCCCCGUCUUAUCGACCAUGGUGAGAAACAGUAAAUAAACUAAGCCAGUUUUGUCUGAAACCAC